AAAGUUUAAGAAGUUUAACAUAAAAAUUUAUAAAAUCAUAAAAAGACAGAAAGAGAAAUUCUCAUUCAAAUGUCUUUCAGAAAGGUCAGGCAGGCAAUCUAUUAAUAAAAGCUAACUAACAUUUACUAAAUACUUACAAUGUGCCAGACACUGUUAUUAAGUGCUUUUACACAUAUGAAUUCACUAUAUGAUUCACAUUUACCUCAGAGUUACAGAACUAUUGUUAUGCCCAUUUUACAGAUGGGAAAACUGAAGCACAGAGAUGCCAGGUAACUUGCCCAAGAUUGCAGAAUGUGCAAAUGACAGUGCUCUAGCUCCAGAGUCCACGCUCUGAAAUAUUGGACUAUGCUGCCUUUCAAAUUAUAAUUAUCCACUUUGUAUGUUACAGUGAAGUUAAAAUGUCUCUCAAACACGUCCAUGAAGGCAAGCCUUCACCACAGAACUGUUUAUUUUAUUUCCUCUUUUGGGUCCCUCUCUCGUUUGGAUUUGACUUGGUAAAUAUUGAGCGGCUAACAUGUAUACUAUACACUUCAAAAACAAGUGCUAAAUGUAAAUAUGGGUGGAUAUUACAUAAUUGUGAAAAGUACAGUAUGAAGAAGAAGAAAAGAACCUGACUCUAUCACUCACUUUCCAUGUUAUAUUGGGCAAGCCCUUUAAUCCCUUUGUUUUACCAUCUUCAAAAUAUAGGCAUUUAUAUAAUAUAGGUACUGUUAGGAUCAAUUAAGAUCAUAUAGGCCAGAUGUGGUGGCUCAUGCCUGUAAUCUCAGCACUUUGGGAGGCCAAAGUGGGAGGAUCACUUGAGCCCAAGAUAUCAAGACCAGCCUGGCCAACAUAAUGAAACCAAGUCUCUACAAAAAAAAAAAAAUUUUUUUAAAUUAGCCAGGUGUGGUGGUGCAUACCUGUGGUCUCAGCGACUUGGGAGGCUGAGGUGGGAGAUAGCGAGGCUGCAGUGAGCUAUGACUGCACCAUGACACUCCAGCCUGGGUGACAGGGAAAGACCCUGUCUCAAAAAAAAGGAUCAUAUGUGGGAUUUAUUAUGUUAAUGUAAAAUGAUAUUUUCAUGAGAAAAAAAGUGCCAAAGCCUAACAUAGGAAAGGCAAGAAUUUCAAUGCCAAAUUCUAUUAAUCAUUAGCCAAAUUAAAAAGGAAAAUAGUCUUGACAAACAUACAGAACAUUCAUUUUAACUUUGCCCUUGUGCAGUCAUACAAAAUUAUAUAUAACACAUGGACAAAAUCUUUAAAAGAAUGAUCAUGAAGAAGACCCCAGAAAAACUGCUGGGUUUUAUAUCUCCUCCAGCAUUCUGUCCAAUUUUAAUAAAAAUUGGCCUCAGAAUUAUCUUAGAUUUUCUUGGCUGGAUGCAGUGGCUCACGUCUGUAAUCUCAGCACUUUGGGAGGGCAAGGCGGGCGGAUCACUUGAGGUCAGGAAACCAGCCUGGCCAACAUGGUGAAACCCUGUCUCUGCUAAAAAUACAAAAAUUAGUCGAGUGUGGUGGCAGGUGCAUGUAGUCCCAGCUACUCAGGAGGCUGAGGCAGGAGAAUCGCUUGAACCUAGGAGGUGGAAGUUGCAGUGAGCCAGGAUCGCGCCACUGCACUCCAGCCUGGGUGACAGAGCGAGACUCCAGCACAGUGGCUCACUCCUGUAAUCCUACCACUUUGGGAGGCCGAGGAGGGCAGAUUGUGUGAGCUCAGGAGUUCGAGACCAGCCUGGGCAACAUGGUGAAACCCUGUCUCUUCUAAAACACAAAAAAUUAGCCAGGCGUGGCGGCAUGUGCCUGUGGUCCCAGCGACUUGGGAGGCUGAGGCAGGAGAAUUGCUUGAACCUGGGAGGCGGAGGUUGCAGAGAGCUGAGAUCAUGCCACUGCACUCCAGCCUGGAAACAGAGGGAGACUCCGUCUCAAAAAAAAAAAAAAGAAAAAAAUUAUCUUAGAUUUUCUUUUGGUUUCAUUUUAGAAUUAUUUAUGGAUAUCUCAUAAUCUUGUAAAAAGACUCUAGAACAUAGCAAAGCAAAACUGUACCCAUUAAAAUGGGUACUACUACUACAGCAAAGUCAUUUAAACACAAUUAGAAUAUCUAGGACAUAAUUUUAGAGCUCUUAGAACAUUACAGCUAUAACACUAAAUCUAAAGUACAGAGAAGUAACAUCUUAAUUGUGCUUAAAUACUACCAAUUAAUUAAUUGGUAUUAACUACCAAUUAAACAACCUACCUGUGAAGCAAGGUACAACUCACCUGGAAGGAAAGUGAAAGUAAAAGCAGUACCAUUUCAUUAUUGGCUGAUGUGUUUUUAAGUUUCAAUAUCAGUCAAUAAUGCCUCAAGAAUUAGCAUUCAUAAAAGAAACCUCUGACUUUUUUUUUAACAAUGGGCAGACGAAAAAGUCUGCAUUCUACUUAAAUUUUUUUUCCUGAACUUUGUCAACUCACUGCUGUUAGACUAAGCCUGCAAUCAUGAGGGUACUAAGUCAGGGGUGCUGAAGAGAAACUUGUUACCACUUCCACCAAUUAGGGAGAAAAAAAGGAAUAAAGAUAUUUUGAGAUUACUCAAACAAGAAUUCUAGCCUACUACCUGAAUUCAUGAUUUCACUAUACUGAAAGAAACAAAUUCUGUAACAUAAUUGAGUUAUAGCCAUGAAAAUGAAAUCAUUUCUUCAUCCAAUUAAAUGCCCAAAAUAUACUAAUAGGACCUCUAUAAUAUUUCAAAGUACAAAGCAUUUCAAAGCAUAUAAAGAGCACUUAACAUUAUAAAAGGCAAAACUCACUGAGAAAGUAAGGCUAUUAAUUCCAAAUAGGCAAAUACUACUGGAUGACAUUUUUAAAUUUAUAAUAAUUAUAACUCACCAGGUCAAUCACUUAACCAAAAUGUAUAACAAAAAAUAAUAUUCGGCUGGGCAUGGUGGAUCACACCUGUAAUCCUAGCACUUUGGGAGGCCGAGGCGGGAAGAUCAUGAGGUCAAGAGAUCGAGACCAUCCUGGCCAACAUGGUGAAACCCUGUCUCUACUAAAAAAAAAAAAAAAAAUAGAGAAUUAAAAUUAGCCAGGCGUGGUGGUGCAUGCCUGUAAUCCCAGUUACUCGGGAGGCUGAGGCAAGGGAAUCGGUUGAACCCAGGAGGUGGAGGUUGUGAUAAGCUGAGACCAUGCCACUGCACUCCAGCCUGGGGGACAGAGCGAGACUCCAUCUAAAAAAAAAAAAAAGAUAUUGGCCAAGCACAGAGGCUCAUGCCUGUAAUCCCAGCACUGUGGGAGGCUCAGGCAGGCAGGUGGCUUGAGCUCAGGAGUUUGGGACCAUCCUGGGCAACAUGGAGAAAUCCUGUCUCCACCAAAAAUACAAAAAAUUAGACAAGUGUGGUGGCACGUGCCUAUGGUCCCAGCUACUCAGGAGGUUGAUGGAGGACUGCUUGAGCUGGGAGGUGGAGGCUGCAGUGAGCACUUCAGCCUGCCACUGCACUCCAGCCUGGGUGACAGAGUGAGACCUUGUCUCAAAAAAACAAAAUAAAAUAAUAAAAGAUAUUGAAUAAAAUGCUUAAAGAAAUUUAACUAGGUAGGAAUCUUAAAUAUCAGCUAGCUUAGUUUUCUUGCUUUAUCACACCUCAGGGAAACCUUACUGGAAGAACUAUUGCCCAUUAUUUAGUCCUAUGAUGUAGAAAAACCUCAAAACACCUACUAGAUGAGAGGUGCAGUGGCUCACACUUGUAAACCCAGAAGUUUGGGAGGCCAUGGCAGGAGGAUUGCUUGAACCCAGGAGUUCGAGGCCAGCCUGGACAACAGUGUGAGACCAUAUCUCUAUGUUUACAAAAAUUCUUUUAAAGUUUGGGAUGGGGGGUGGGCACAGUGGCUGACGCCUAUAAUCCCAGCACUUUGGGAGACCAAGGCAGGCAGAUCAUCUGAGGUCAGGAGUUCGAGACGAGCCUGGGCAACAUGGCGAAACCCCGUCUCUACUAAAAAUACAAAAAUUAGCUGGGUGUGGUGGCAUGUGCCUAUAGUCCCAGCUACUCAGGAGGCUGAGGUAGGAGAAUUGCUUGAACCCAGGAGGCGGAGGUUGCAGCGAGCCAAGAUCACGCCACUGUACUCCAGCCUGGGCAACACAGGGAAACCCCGUCUCGAAAAAUUAAUUAAUUUAUUUAUUAAUUAAAGGUGGGGUGGCACCGAGCACAGUGGCUCACACCUAUAAUCCCAACACUUUGGGAGGCCAAGGCAGGAGGAUCGCUUGACCCCAGAAGUUUGAGAUCAGCCUGAGCAACAUAGGGAGCUCCCUCUCUAUAAAAAAAUUUAAAAAAUAACCAGGCAUGGUAGCACGUGCCUGUAGUCUCAGCUACUUGACAGCCUGAGGUGGGAAGAUCCCUUAAGCCCCAGGAGGUCAAGGCUACACUGAGCCAUGAUCACACGACUGCACUCUAGCCCAGGUAAGAGGGAGACCCUGUUACAAAAAAAAAAAAAAAAAAAAAAAAAACACAGCUACUGGAUAAUGACUGGGAGGGACAAAAUGAUCAUUUUAGCAGAACACCAUAAUGUACCCUUGCAGAAGGUAGGAAACUAUCAUUAGGCCAAUAGGGAUUGUGCACUAAUCCAUUCCUCAUGUCUUUUGCUCAGUCACGUAUCUGCAUCUUCUCUAUAGUGGCUGCUCAAGUUGAAGCUAUCCUAAGGCAUGAGUGAUUUAUUAAGCCAUAUGCCAAUUAUUUUCUACAUGGUGAUUAAGAUUCUCACAUCCUCAAAUCAUUACAUCUAAAUGAGCAAAGUCUCCCAUCAUAAAAAGGCUAUGAUGGCCAGGCACGGUGGCUGACGCCUGUAAUCCCAGCACUCUGGGAGGCCGAGGUGUGCAGAUCACCUGAGGUCAGGAGUUUGAGACCGGCAUGGCCAACAUGGUGAAACCCCAUCUCUACUAAAAAUACAAAAAUUAGCUGGGUGUAGCAGCGCAGGCCUGUAAUCCUAGCUACUUGGGAAGCUGAGGUAGGAGAAUUGCUUUAACCCGGGAGGCAAAGGUUGCAGUGAGCCAAGACCAUGACACUGCAUUCCAGCCUGGGAGACAGUAAGACUCCAUCUCUAAAUAAAUAAAUAAAUAAAUAAAUAAAUAAAUAGGCUGUGACAAUACUAAGGUCAGUUUACACUAUGUAAGUAAACUUCUCAAAUAACUGUGGAUUAAUAGUUCUGUAACAAAUGGAUAAAAGUUUCUAAGGAAAAGCCACAAAGCUGUAUUCUUAACCACAUCCUUUUCAAAUUUUUAUCAAUGACUUGAAUAAUAAAAUAGAAGAGCUGCUUAUCAAAGCUGAAUGUGACCAGAAGAUAAGCACUAUUCAGUUUUUGUUUCGAGACAGGGUCUCUCUCUGUCGCCCAGGCUAGAGUGCAGUGGUGCGAUCAUGGCUUACUGCAGUCUCGACUUUCCAGGCUCAACUGAUCCUCCCACCUCAGCCCCCAAGUAGCUGAGACUACAAGCGCAUGCCACCACACCCAGCUAAUUUUUAUAUUUUUUGUAGCAAUGGGGUUUCAGCAUGUUGCCCAGGCUAGUCUCAAACUCCUGGGCUCAAGCGAUCCUUCUGCCUCAGCCUCCCAAAGUGCUGACAUUACAGGCGUGAGCCACCGCACCCUGCCAGUACUAUUAAUAAUACACAUGUAAUCAAUAUCCAAAGCUUUCAUAAAGCUAAAAUAAUAUACAAAAAGCAUCUAAAUAAAGUUUAACAGAGAUAUGCAAGUACACAUUUAGGCUUUAAAAAUUGUAUUUCACUAGUUUAAGGUGAAGAAGAAGUGGCUUGUCAGCAGUUCAUAUGAGAAAUAAAGCUUCAGUGCAAAUAAGUUUAACAAAAACCAAAAGAACAACAAGGUAGCUAUAAAAACUAAGGCAAUUUUAGGUCACAGAUAGAAAAGAAUGCAUCCAAAACAAGUAUCCUAAGAGUAGUGAAGUGUCUGGAAAUCAUGGAGCAAACUGAAAGAACUGGAGGUAUUUAACAUGGAGACGAGAAAAGGGAAACAUCACGGCAGUCUGAAUAUCUGAGAUACUGUCAUGGGAAUAAAAGUGGACACAUAUGUCCUCUACUGGUAUUCCUCAAACCAUCUGUGGUAAAGGGCCACCUUUCCUUCCCCAACCACUGGACACUUCUGUAAAAAUAUAGUAAGAAUACCAUGACCACUGAAAAUUCCUAUAAACUUUUUUUUUUUUUUUUUUUUUAGGACGAAGUCUCGCUCUUGUCCUCCAGGCUGGAGUGCAAUGGCACAAUCUCGGCUCACUGCAACCUCCACCUCCCAGGGUCAAGUGAUUCUCCUGCCUCAGUCCCCCACAAGUAGCUGGGAUUACCGGGGCCUGCCACCAUGCCCGGCUAAUUUUUGCAUUUUUAGUAGAGACGGGGUUUCACCAUGUUGGCCAGGCUGGUCUCAAACUCCUGACCUCAGAUGAUCCACCCACCUUGGCCUCCCAAAGUGCUGGGAUUACAGGUGUGAGCCACCAUUUCCAGCCUGAAAAUUCCUAUAAUAAUUUCUAAAUGCUCACUCUCACUUUCUGUGUUUCAUUAAAUUGUGAACAGGUUACAAGUUCAUAGAUUUCCUACUUCAAGUACCUGUAUUCCAUCCAUACCAGAAAAAAGAACCAAAUCAAAGGGAAUCAUUUUGUGGGAAGUUAAAUUUCCACCUGAUGUAACAAAGAAUUCCUAGCCCAUAGUGUUUCCAACAGUGCAAUGGCACCGAGAGAACUGAGCUCCUUUGGGAAGUAUUCAGAGGAAAAAUAAUUUUAUCUGUUAGAUAAUCUAAAAAAUGUAUUCCUACUUUGGAAAGGUGAAUGGAUUGGAUUAAAACAUCGUAGAAUCUCUCCACUCUCCAAGAUUCUGAGUCCAAUCAAAAGCAAAUACACACACAUACACCCUCAAAGUAGCCAAGAACUAAUCAAUCAUUAGCAUACUAUUAGCAUACUCACAAAUCAGUUAUGAUGUAUUAGGUAGGAUGUACGAGCAAAGGACUAUGAAAUUGACAAAGCAUAUGGAAAUCAUAAUUAAGCCCUAAGUAAGUGAGAAGUAUGAAUAAAGCACCACCAUAAUCCUUUUUAGUCCAUUACUGAUGGUACAAGUACACUCUCAGGUUGCCUCUUCAAAGUUUAAACCAGUCCUCGCAAAUCAAAACACAAAACAAGGAUAAGCCUUUUCCUUUUUCCUAAAAGAACUAUUGAUAACACCUUUGCCGUCUUAAAUUCUCACCUCUGAGUGACCUUCAGCCACAAAGAUUUAACCACAGUCUCUACCUUGACCCUGCCCUAACUGUACUACUGGCAUACACUACUCCUGUUCAAUCUUCUGGUCAAUCAUCUUCUAGUGGUAACUACUUAAACCACUCCUCCCCUACCACAGACUUAUGAAACUAGAAAAGGAUCUCCUCCUAUACAAAUUUCUGAUCAACAGUAAUUUCAGAUUCUCAACCAUGCAAUAUAAAUAGUUGUAGAAAUAUUAAAAUAGUUUAAUACUCAGCCACGUGCUAUGGCUAUUACCUCUUUGCUACACUCCCUCAGCCCCCCUCCAAAUCCAUCCUCCAUAGAAAUUGACCUAAUGCCUAGCAACUCCAUCAACUUCUAGCUUCUUGUUGCUCCUCAGGUACAAAUACUACACAGUAGUCUACCAUACCUUUUAACAACCAAAAUUGGCCCCAAAGUCAGGUCUUUUCACCAAUUACCACAGGCACAGUACAUUCCUCCUUUAGAAUUUUAAAUGAAUGCCCCCAGGAAGAAGACUCCUACAAAUGAGUUUUGUAGUUGCAUUUAAGAAAUUUUUUCACAGCUAAUUUUGUGCAUUAUUUCCCAAAACUCUAAUCUGAAAUACCACUGGUAAUUAAUGACUCAUUUUCUUAAGAAGAGCAACAGUGACAUAAAGAACUUAAAAUACAAAACAAUGAAAGCAAACCUGUUAUAGAGAGAACGUUAAAGCACACAGAAAAAUAUUAGCAGGUAAGUUUAAGUGACAGAAAAGGAAAUUUUACCCCUUGAUUAUUAAGGAGUAUUUAAAAUCACAGGAAGAAUACACAUCCACAAAGCAAAAAUCACCAUCUACUUGGCAGAUUUUUUUAAAAUCAGAAACAAAAUCUAUCGUAGACUCACAUUAAAACAUGAGUACUCAGACUGUUCUACUUUGAAAUUUUCCUGGAAUGUUAAGAAAUCACCUGUAAGGAGCCCUUUUCCAUAAGUUCUUUCAGUGGCAUGAAGACUUUAAACAUUUUUAAGUAUGAGCUCCAAAAUAAAUUCUCAACUCUGAGAAACAUUUGAAAAUCACCUGUUUUGUCUCUCAGUAUUCUGGAGCUCCCUGU
rnacentral:lncRNA from 1 species